rnacentral:rRNA from 1 species
UAUAGGUUUGGUCCCAGCCUUCCUGUUAACUUUCAAUAGACUUAUACAUGCAAGCAUCCACGCCCCGGUGAGUAACGCCCUUCGAAUCACACAGGACUAAAAGGAGCAGGUAUCAAGCACACACUCUUGUAGCUCACAACGCCUUGCUUAACCACACCCCCACGGGAGACAGCAGUAACAAAAAUUAAGCCAUAAACGAAAGUUUGACUAAGCCAUAUUGACUAGGGUUGGUAAAUCUCGUGCCAGCCACCGCGGUCAUACGAUUGACCCAAGCUAACAGGAGUACGGCGUAAAGCGUGUUAAAGCAUCAUACUAAAUAGAGUUAAAUUUUUUUUAAACUGUAAAAAGCCAUAAUUAUAACAAAAAUAAAUGACGAAAUGUAAUCCUACAAUAGCUGAUACACCAUAGCUAAGACCCUAACUGGGAUUAGAUACCCCACUAUGCUUAGCCCUAAACACAAAUAAUUAU